UGGGGAAUAUUGGACAAUGGGCGAAAGCCUGAUCCAGCCAUGCCGCGUGUGUGAAGAAGGUCUUCGGAUUGUAAAGCACUUUAAGUUGGGAGGAAGGGCAGUAAGCGAAUACCUUGCUGUUUUGACGUUACCGACAGAAUAAGCACCGGCUAACUCUGUGCCAGCAGCCGCGGUAAUACAGAGGGUGCAAGCGUUAAUCGGAAUUACUGGGCGUAAAGCGCGCGUAGGUGGUUCGUUAAGUUGAAUGUGAAAGCCCCGGGCUCAACCUGGGAACUGCAUCCAAAACUGGCGAGCUAGAGUAGGGCAGAGGGUGGUGGAAUUUCCUGCGUAGCGGUGAAAUGCGUAGAUAUAGGAAGGAACACCAGUGGCGAAGGCGACCACCUGGGCUCAUACUGACACUGAGGUGCGAAAGCGUGGGGAGCAAACAGG
rnacentral:rRNA from 1 species